GGCCUAAUGGCCCAAUGGCAAGGCGCUUGACUACGAUUCAGGAGUAAAAUCCGCAAAUCGGCAUCAAGAGAUUCCAGGUUCGACCCCUGGUUAGGUCA